rnacentral:rRNA from 1 species
GACGAACGCUGGCGGCGUGCCUAAUACAUGCAAGUCGCACGCAUUUUCUUUCACCGUAGCUUGCUACACCGAAAGAAAAUGAGUGGCGAACGGGUGAGUAACACGUGGGUAACCUGCCCAUCAGCGGGGGAUAACACUUGGAAACAGGUGCUAAUACCGCAUAAUUCCAUUUACCGCAUGGUAGAUGGGUGAAAGGCGCUUUUGCGUCACUGAUGGAUGGACCCGCGGUGCAUUAGCUAGUUGGUGGGGUAACGGCCUACCAAGGCUGCGAUGCAUAGCCGACCUGAGAGGGUGAUCGGCCACACUGGGACUGAGACACGGCCCAGACUCCUACGGGAGGCAGCAGUAGGGAAUCUUCGGCAAUGGACGCAAGUCUGACCGAGCAACGCCGCGUGAGUGAAGAAGGUUUUCGGAUCGUAAAACUCUGUUGUUAGAAAAGAACAAGGAUGAGAGUGGAAAGUUCAUCCCUUGACGGUAUCUAACCAGAAAGCCACGGCUAA